rnacentral:rRNA from 1 species
GAUGAACGCUGGCGGCGUGCCUAAUACAUGCAAGUCGAGCGAACAGAUGAGGAGCUUGCUCCUCUGACGUUAGCGGCGGACGGGUGAGUAACACGUGGAUAACCUACCUAUAAGACUGGGAUAACUUCGGGAAACCGGAGCUAAUACCGGAUAAUAUAUUGAACCGCAUGGUUCAAUAGUGAAAGACGGUUUUGCUGUCACUUAUAGAUGGUUCCGCGCCGCAUUAGCUAGUUGGUAAGGUAACGGCUUACCAAGGCAACGAUGCGUAGCCGACCUGAGAGGGGGAUCGGCCACACUGGAAGUGAGACACGGUCCAGACUCCUACGGGAGGCAGCAGUAGGGAAUCUUCCGCAAUGGGCGAAAGCCUGACGGAGCAACGCCGCGUGAGUGAUGAAGGUCUUCGGAUCGUAAAACUCUGUUAUUAGGGAAGAACAAAUGUGUAAGUAACUAUGCACGUCUUGACGGUACCUAAUCAGAAAGCCACGGCUAACUACGUG